UACAGAGGUCUCAAGCGUUGUUCGGAUUCACUGGGCGUAAAGGGAGCGUAGGCGGGUUUCUAAGUCAGGUGUUUAAUCCCGGGGCCCAACCCCGGACAGGCACUUGAAACUGGGAAUCUUGAAUAGGGGAGAGGUCAGUGGAAUUGGAGGUGUAGCGGUGGAAUGCGUAGAGAUCUCCAAGAACACCAGUUGCGAAGGCGGCUGACUGGACCCAUAUUGACGCUGAGGCUCGAAAGCAUGGGGAGCAAACAGG
rnacentral:rRNA from 1 species